rnacentral:tRNA from 2 species
GGGCCGUUAGCUCAAUUGGUAGAGCAACUGACUCUUAAUCAGUAGGUCCGCGGUUCGAUCCCGCGACGGCCCACCA